CAGACAUUCAGCAGAUCUUCCCAGUCAGGGAGAGCAGGGAGUCCCAGUAAGACUGCAGGUUGGAAUAAAGAACAGCAGGGUUCCUGGGCAGAUCGAUCACCACUACAUGAAGCAGCAAGUCAAGGUCGCCUUCUUGCUCU
rnacentral:sRNA from 1 species